rnacentral:rRNA from 1 species
CGAAUGCUGACAUAAGUAACGAUAAAGCGGGUGAAAAGCCCGCUCGCCGGAAGACCAAGGGUUCCUGUCCAACGUUAAUCGGGGCAGGGUGAGUCGACCCCUAAGGCGAGGCCGAAAGGCGUAGUCGAUGGGAAACAGGUUAAUAUUCCUGUACUUGGUGUUACUGCGAAGGGGGGACGGAGAAGGCUAUGUUGGCCGGGCGACGGUUGUCCCGGUUUAAGCGUGUAGGCUGGUUUUCCAGGCAAAUCCGGAAAAUCAAGGCUGAGGCGUGAUGACGAGGCACUACGGUGCUGAAGCAACAAAUGCCCUGCUUCCAGGAAAAGCCUCUAAGCAUCAGGUAACAUCAAAUCGUACCCCAAACCGACACAGGUGGUCAGGUAGAGAAUACCAAGGCGCUUGAGAGAACUCGGGUGAAGGAACUAGGCAAAAUGGUGCCGUAACUUCGGGAGAAGGCACGCUG